UUUUAUUUAUUGAACUCAAUCCAUAAUUUUAUUUAAAAUAAAAAUCUUUCACGAGUCGAAUCAAAAUUCACGCAGAACACUUCUGCAUAACAUUUAUCGCGAGAUCCUUUUUUUACAUUUUCCUUUGUUUUGCCUCCUUUCUGCGAAUAGCAACGUUGGCGUUGGUUGGAAGAAGUUACCAAAUAUAGACACUCGCUGUAAACCGAAACGAUAAGUUUCCAAUUCCCAACCUGUUUACCAACCGCCGGUGCGGUGUCGUGUUAUGAUGACGGUUAGUAAAUUGCUUAUAGCCACGCCCGGUGAUGAUAGUCUUAUAAAUCGCCCGACAAGAAAAACUAUUUGAACGCAAGUAAGGGUAUUGGCGCGUAAUGGUAUAAUGCAAAUGUUUCGAGAGGGAAUGAGAUAGCGAUUCAGAAUCAAUUGUCCAAGAAGUUCGUUUUUCGAAAUACGAGUUUUACAUCGGUAAUAUUACGUACUUCCGGGUAUCUAGAACCAAAAAUUGUUUAUCUGAGGGUUUUAGGAAUAGCUUCUCAUCCAUUUCAAUCUAGACCGUGAAAGGGGUUAGAGUGCGUGUUGUUUUCCCGCGGUGUGUCGAAGGUUUGUCAAAUUUAAAUAUGAGAUGUCUUUAAAAUGCAGUAAUUAGUUUGUUAUUAGGUGUUGCGUCAAGUCAAGUAGUAGGAAGUGCGGAAAUUUUGUGUACGUUAGCUGAAAAUUAAAAAGGUAACAUACAAUUGUACUGUGGCAUGUGUAUCACACAUGUCAUCGACCCACGGUCAUUCCCAGUAAAAUGCACACGUUGCGUCUUGCUGAGCUUACAGAAUAUUGCCUUCCCCACUGUUACCGAGCUAAACUGUUGCUAAGCUGCAUGUAGCAAAUUGUAGAAACAGUUAAAUAGGAGUGAUUGAAGCAGUCUCUAAGUCUGAAUGAUUAGUGAUUGGUGAUUGGACGUUAAACGCAUCAUCGAACAAUUGUGAAUACUAACAAUAAAAAUGGGCAAUAAGAAAUCCAGCCCGAAAAUAGAAGCAAACGGUGACAAAGACAUAACCGUUAUACAAAAUCAAGAAGUACAUUCAGAAUUCCAUGAAAGUCAUGAGAUUAAGUUGAUAUUGAUAAUAAUACUAGUGUCAAUACAAUUAUUGUUUGCGUUCUACAAAUACGCAAAAAAAAGACUACUGAAACAAGCUUUCAAUAAAGCGCGAAAAUCUUUGAAUAAUCUCGCGGAUGUGUAAUGAAUUCGCGUGACGAAGACGGCAGCGAAGUGAAACGAGAGCUGAAGCAUACCGUGCUGCCGAAGUUGGAGCUGAAAUAUACCAUGCCACCGGAGUGAGAACGAACAUCGAAGAUUGCUAACACGUCGAAAAGAAUGAAGUUUAAAAUUUAGCAGCUCUAGAAGCAACCGCGGAAAAGAUAAACGUUAUUAAUGUCAAUAAUAUACAUUUGAAAAAAGUACCUGGCAUCUUUGUCCAAGCAGAAAAUUUUAUUUGGAAUCAAAUUUUAAAUCUUUCGUAAAGCAGUUGCAGUGGUCAGCGAACUAUGUGGACAUAAAUUGAACUUGGUGGAGAACGAGAGUUUUCUCGGGUUGAGUUCAAGCUCCUAUUCUAGUAAUAACACACGUCAAUACGAGUCCCGUCAGUGGUGCACCACAAAAUGUAACCGUUCCCCAAUUAAAGAAGAUAUUCUACGAUUUCGUUGGCGCAGCAGUUUUCAAAAUUAUGCCAUCCCAGGUAAAUCCAGUUCUAUGAAAAAUGGUACCCGCGAAUCGCUGUCCGAAGGAUUGGUCUGUGAGUGCGAACAAAAAGGUGCAAACGGCAAAUAAAAUGCACCAAUCGUUUCAUAUAAUUUUGAUUGUGAAGCACUCCUCGACACAUUUUCCUACAGUGGACUCUGCUACCAAAAGUAUACUGGGAAGUAUGUCAGCAACAUAAAGAGCUAAAGACUACUUAACGGCUGCUUCUGUAAACGGACAUAUUGCUGCCUGGAAAUGAAGAAGUUAAACGGAACUGCACCACGAUAACCGGUGUUCUUAUAUUUGUGAUAGUUCAGUUCAAUUUACGUACUGCUCUGAACGUUCUGACGCAUUUUGUGGAAAUUAUAAAUGUAAAACACUCAAAAAAUAAUCUUCAGCAGCUCAAUUUUCAACAAAAUCGCAUAUGCAGCAGCACCAAUCACCGACAUCAGAUUGUGCAAAUUGAACCCAACGCAUUUGCCUGGUUUGAUUAUGUUCGACGGUUUUUCGUCAUACAGUGGAAACGGCAUUGAUUUCGACAUAAUUUUUAAUAACGAAAUGAUGUACAUCUCCGGUAUAUACGUUGGACAGCUCUUUACGGAAUGAUGAGUGCCGGCGAAUCAACUAUUUGGCAAUAUGUGUGAACAAAAUAAACAAUAGCAGACUUUGUAUGUUUGGCUAAUAAUUUCUCCAAUCUGGUAUCCUGUUGUCCGUCAUCAUUUGUUUGAAGGAUAUGCAAGUUAUACAGUGGAUAUUUGCAAUGCGUUUAGUUGCUGCGGAACGAAAUACGCCAUCAAUUGAUUGAUGCCAUCCAGGAUUGCGAGAAACCUGAAUCGGAGUGAAAUAGAAUUCCCAUUCGAAGAACGACAGAUGAAAAGACAACUGACGAAAAUAAUAUUUCUAGACAAAUAUGUCAAAUGAUGCUAAGUGCAUGUGUAAGUAGUAUAGUAAUAAUUGCUUAGUAUAGUAAUAUGAAUUAUUCAUUGUAUCAUGUUUUCGAUGCACAGUAAAGAUAAUUGUUACCUAAAAUUUAAUUGUGAACGAUGUCGAAACAGUAAGAACAGUAAUAUCUAUAGUUCAUGGAUUGUUUGUAGGGUAAAUGCUAUUGUUAAAUUCCAUUCGGGUAAAGAUCAUUAAAAAGUUUCUUUCUAGAUCUAGACUUAUCAAAUUAAGGAUAUUGAGCGAAAAUAAUACACAUGAAUGCUAUUUGCCAAAAAUCUUAUGCGUGCUUCUUAUUCCGUGUCCCGUCGCUUAUCCAAAGUGUUUACACCUUUUAUUAUACUCUUGUCCAUUUUUGCUUGUUUUCAAAACUGAGUCAGGUUCAACCCCAACUGCUGUUGCUUUUGCCUUUCUCAUAAAAGAAAGGGUUGCGUA